rnacentral:sRNA from 1 species
AAGCUCCUAAUGUUGUGUUAAGUGUUGGCAGAUAUCUGGACCACGCCCUAGCGGUCCAGUGCUUAAACCCCGGACUUCUCCCCCCCAUACGAAGUCCGGGGUUUUUUUUGCCUGCGA